rnacentral:rRNA from 1 species
AUUGAACGCUGGCGGCAUGCCUUACACAUGCAAGUCGAACGGCAGCACGGGAGCAAUCCUGGUGGCGAGUGGCGAACGGGUGAGUAAUAUAUCGGAACGUGCCCAGUCGUGGGGAUAACGUAGCGAAAGCUACGCUAAUACCGCAUACGAUCUAUGAAUGAAAGCGGGGGAUCGCAAGACCUCGCGCGAUUGGAGCGGCCGAUAUCAGAUUAGGUAGUUGGUGAGGUAAAGGCUCACCAAGCCGACGAUCUGUAGCUGGUCUGAGAGGACGACCAGCCACACUGGGACUGAGACACGGCCCAGACUCCUACGGGUGGCAGCAGUGGGGAAUUUUGGACAAUGGGCGCAAGCCUGAUCCAGCAAUGCCGCGUGCAGGAUGAA